GCGGGUAUGGUAUAGUGGUUAUUACACUCGGUUGUGGCCCGGGAGAGCUGGGUUCAAUUCCCAGUACUCGCCCCA
rnacentral:tRNA from 1 species